GUUGUUAUGGUGUAGUGAUUAUCACGUUAGCUUUACACGCUAAAGGUCUCUGGUUCAAUCCCGGGUAGCAACA